rnacentral:rRNA from 1 species
GACGAACGCUGGCGGCGUGCUUAACACAUGCAAGUCGAGCGGAAAGGCCCUGCUUUUGUGGGGUGCUCGAGUGGCGAACGGGUGAGUAACACGUGAGUAACCUGCCCUUGACUUUGGGAUAACUUCAGGAAACUGGGGCUAAUACCGGAUAGGAGCUCCUGCUGCAUGGUGGGGGUCGGAAAGUUUCGGCGGUUGGGGAUGGACUCGCGGCUUAUCAGCUUGUUGGUGGGGUAGUGGCUUACCAAGGCUUUGACGGGUAGCCGGCCUGAGAGGGUGACCGGCCACAUUGGGACUGAGAUACGGCCCAGACUCCUACGGGAGGCAGCAGUGGGGAAUAUUGCACAAUGGGCGGAAGCCUGAUGCAGCAACGCCGCGUGCGGGAUGACGGCCUUCGGGUUGUAAACCGCUUUCGCCUGUGACGAAGCGUGAGUGACGGUAAUGGGUAAAGAGGCACCGGCUAACUACGUG